rnacentral:lncRNA from 1 species
GGAAGGAGAGUAGCGAGGGGAGGGGGGCUAGAAUCUUCUCUCACCGGCGGUGUGGCGAGGAACUUCUAGGUGCCCCGUUGCAAGGAGAGGCGAUGAUCUUAUAGGUUUAUUGACGGAGUAAGAGGUAAAAGGAGACGGUUCAGUGCUGGCCUUGGCCUAACAACCAACACCAUAGCUAAGUUCAACCCAAAAUGAAAAAAAA